rnacentral:rRNA from 1 species
UACGGAGGGUGCGAGCGUUGUCCGGAAUCACUGGGCGUAAAGGGCGCGUAGGUGGCCGAGCAAGGGUGCGGUGAAAGCCCGGGGCUCAACCCCGGGUCGGCCGUGGCAACUACUCGGCUUGAGCACUGUAGGGGCGGGUGGAAUUCCGGGUGUAGCGGUGGAAUGCGUAGAGAUCCGGAAGAACACCGGUGGCGAAGGCGGCCCGCUGGGCAGGAAGGCUCGCAAGAGCCGGCUGACACUGAGGCGCGACAGCGUGGGGAGCAAACAGG